rnacentral:rRNA from 1 species
UACUGGGNGUAAAGCGGGCGCAGACGGUUACUUAAGCAGGAUGUGAANUCCCCGGGCUCAACCUGGGAACUGCGUUNUGAACUGGGUGACUAGAGUGUGUCAGAGGGAGGUAGAAUUCCACGUGUAGCAGUGAAAUGCGUAGAGAUGUGGAGGAAUACCGAUGGCGAAGGCAGCCUCNUGGGAUAACACUGACGUUCAUGCCCGAAAGCGUGGGUAGCAANCAGGAUUAGAUACCCUGGUAGUCCACGCCCUAAACGAUGUCGAUUAGCUGUUGGGCAGCAUGACUGCUUAGUAGCGAAGCUAACGCGUGAAAUCGACCGCCUGGGGAGUACGGUCGCAAGAUUAAAACUCAAAGGAAUUGACGGGGACCCGCACAAGCGGUGGAUGAUGUGGAUUAAUUCGAUGCAACGCGAAGAACCUUACCUGGUCUUGACAUGUACGGAACCCUCCAGAGACGGAGGGGUGCCUUCGGGAGCCGUAACACAGGUGCUGCAUGGCUGUCGUCAGCUCGUGUCGUGAGAUGUCGGGUUAAGUCCCGCAACGAGCGCAACCCUUGUCAUUAGUUGCCAUCAUUAAGUUGGGCACUCUAAUGAGACUGCCGGUGACAAGCCGGAGGAAGGUGGGGAUGACGUCAAGUCCUCAUGGCCCUUAUGACCAGGGCUUCACACGUCAUACAAUGGUCGGUACAGAGGGUAGCCAAGCCGCGAGGUGGAGCCAAUCUCACAAAACCGAUCGUAGUCCGGAUUGCACUCUGCAACUCGAGUGCAUGAAGUCGGAAUCGCUAGUAAUCGCAGGUCAGCAUACUGCGGUGAAUACGUUCCCGGGUCUUGUACACAC